UACGUAGGGUGCGAGCGUUAAUCGGAAUUACUGGGCGUAAAGCGUGCGCAGGCGGGCUUUUAAGCCAGACGUGAAAUCCCCGGGCUUAACCUGGGAAUGGCGUUUGGGACUGGGAGUCUGGAGUGCGGCAGAGGAGACUGGAAUUCCUGGUGUAGCAGUGAAAUGCGUAGAUAUCAGGAGGAACACCGAUGGCGAAGGCAGGUCUCUGGGCCACUACUGACGCUGAGAAGCGAAAGACCAG
rnacentral:rRNA from 1 species